rnacentral:misc_RNA from 1 species
UGUCAUGCAUGGUGGAUGAAUUGGUUGCUGAGGAAGAAGGACUAGAAAUAGCAGCUAGGUUCGUGUUUCCUCAUGUAACCUACUUGCGACUUCAAGCUUUACCGGAACUCAGGAGUUUCUAUCCUGGGCUACAUAUUUCAGAAUGGCCAUCGUUGAAAAAAUUGGAAGUGAAUGGAUGUCAUAAAGUGGAAAUAGUCGCUUUGGAUUAUCAUAGCUUCCAAGAAAUGCUUGGGGC